rnacentral:rRNA from 1 species
UACAGAGGUCUCAAGCGUUGUUCGGAUUCAUUGGGCGUAAAGGGUGCGUAGGUGGCGCGGUAAGUCGGGUGUGAAAUCUCGGAGCUUAACUCCGAAAUUGCAUUCGAUACUGUCGUGCUCGAGGACUGGAGAGGAGACUGGAAUUCAUGGUGUAGCAGUGAAAUGCGUAGAGAUCAUGAGGAAGACCAGUGGCGAGGGCGGGUCUCUGGACAGUUCCUGACACUGAGGCACGAAGGCCAGGGGAGCAAACGGG